UGGCUGAGCGGUAAAGCGCUUGGCUUCUGUACCGGGGGUCCCAGGUUCGAAUCCUGG
rnacentral:tRNA from 1 species